GGAGGGAAGGGGGGGGGGAUUGCGGAGAAAUCAAAAGGAACCACUUCCGGUCCCUUUCCCCAGCCCUAGCGCCUGCCAGUUGUUCAAAAAAAAAGUCAGACGUAGAAACGGUUGAAAAGCGCGGGGUCUUUAAUAAUCAUUCCUCAGUCCCAUAACUUUUAUUUAAUAACAAAGGAAGUUUUGAUGAUGGGGGAGUAUUAAAAAUACAUCAAAUCAGGCGCGUCUUUUGCCACCUAAAAGAUCGAGCCCCCGACCGGUUGGAACCGGUUUGUUCCGGUCCUGUUUUGAAAAAAAAAACCGUUAUAGAGCGUUUCCUUGGGUAUUUUCUUUCGUGAUUCUCUCACGGUGUGUAUUUUUUUUAUUAAGUGCAGGUGAAUAUUUAUUAUUUUGACCCUCCUUCUCCCUCUUCAUCCCGCCUCCGGUAGAAAAGGCCGUUUUAAACGGGAAACGCCGAAGAAUGUUCGAGAAGCCGCCAUAUGGCGGUGCCGCUGCGAUGACGUCAUUGGUUCAACUCGCAGAACUUUCCAGAAGGUGGAGGCCGCGCGGGAGAGUUUACGGUGGGGUGGGGGCAAAGGGAUCAAAAGCCUUCCCUUACCCACAUCUAUUGACCAUUCUUCUGUGGUUUGAGUAAACGUUCCACCCAGAGUGGUGCAGCACAGAAUGAGGCCAUUCAGCCCAUGGGAGAGGGGUAGUGCUGGCCCUUUAGAAUUGCCAUCUUGUUUUAGCAGACUUCUAUCGAGGAAUAUUGGAGAGCAGGGCCCAGUAAGCCAGUUCUGGCUGACGACUGAGUUAAUGCACUGUUCUAUUAACUCAGGAAAGUAGGCUGUGGAAACUGUCAAGAUCAGAGAGGGAUAAAGCCUGAUACGUUGCCUGCAGAUCAUCCAGCUUUGGAAAAACAACUGAUACCAGACACCUGAAUUUACAAAGGGACUGCAUCUGAAUGAGACAAUAGGUUUUGUGUAACGAAGUAGAGAGAGAAGAAAUGAACUGAUAACCACAGUACGCUGGAAGUCUCCCCGUGUCUCCCUCUGGAAGUCACUGCCUCAUGAAAAAGCAACUUGAAAAAUAAUCAUUUACUGAAAACAAAAGGGAUAUCGGUGAACUUAGCCAUUGAUGAAGAAUCAAGACAACAGCUAAACACUCAGGAUUCAAGUCAUACUCACAAUCCAAUUGUUCUACAAACUUGAAACUGCAAUUGCCUUUCCAUCUAUGCUAAGUACUAUCCUUUUUAAGCAUAAUACUUGUAUUUGUGUAUGUGUGUGCAUUUGAUGUCAAGUUUUUAUGAUGUUUCAAGGUGAGUAGGUAAAAUUCCUAUUUGUUUCACUCAAGAAAACCUUGUAAUUAGUCUGUUUCAUUUUGAUCUAGAUUAUUACAUUUUAUUUAAAGUGUGAUAACUGCAUGUUAAACAAGAAAUUAAAACUAUUUGUUGCAAUUGACUGAGGGGGAAGUUCAAAAAAGGGGGAGCAAAUCCCUCCUCCACAGCUUGUCUUAACACAGUUUAGAUGCUGUGCUCCAGUCUUGAGAGCGAGCCUAACAUGUUCUGACUCUGAGGCAAAUGUGCCACCAUUGACACAGAUGUAGACAAUUUUGGAUUAAUUAAGGGAAUACAUGAACUUUGGUAUUUAAUCAGGUCUUUGAAAACAAUUUAAAAAAUCUAAUGGAUAUUGGGCAUCACUGGAAGAUAUAUAGGAUAUUAAAACAAGGACACACUGCUGUGCUAAUUAGGCAUUAUAUGCAGAAUCAUGCUCAUUGUUAUCAAAAUGGCUCUAAUGAACGACCUUAACAAUCAUGACAGGCUGGAUAAAGCUGGUAUGCUGUCUAAGUACAAAGAGGUUAUAGAGUCACAAAGUAGUAGAGUACAGAAACAGACCCUUUGGUUCAACUCGUCCAUGCCGACCAGAUAUCCCAACCCAAUCUAGUCCCACCUGC